AUGAACGCUGGCGGCGUGCUUAACCCAUGCAAGUCGAACGAAGCACUUUAUUUGAUUUCCUUCGGGACUGAUUAUUUUGUGACUGAGUGGCGGACGGGUGAGUAACGCGUGGGUAACCUGCCUUGUACAGGGGGAUAACAGUUGGAAACGGCUGCUAAUACCGCAUAAGCGCACGGCAUCGCAUGAUGCAGUGUGAAAAACUCCGGUGGUAUAAGAUGGACCCGCGUUGGAUUAGCUAGUUGGUGAGGUAACGGCCCACCAAGGCGACGAUCCAUAGCCGACCUGAGAGGGUGACCGGCCACAUUGGGACUGAGACACGGCCCAAACUCCUACGGGAGGCAGCAGUGGGGAAUAUUGCACAAUGGGCGAAAGCCUGAUGCAGCGACGCCGCGUGAGCGAAGAAGUAUUUCGGUAUGUAAAGCUCUAUCAGCAGGGAAGAUAAUGACGGUACCUGACUAAGAAGCACCGGCUAAAUACGUG
rnacentral:rRNA from 1 species